CCUCUCAAAGGGGCGAAUCUGGGUUUAGUCAAACUUGAGGGGCUCUAAAUUAAAUUAUAUCAACAAAUUGAGUGCCUAAUCGACUCAAUCGCGAAACAGAAUAUUAGCCGGAGAAGAUGGCCGCUCCCGCUCUCAGUCACCGCAUUCUACCGCGUCGGUUUCUCACACCACCGCCGGUAUCUUCAGUUACGUUGGUAGUGCUUGAAUCGAAAAGACGGUUUCAUCCUCCAUUCCCCUCUCUGUUAUCCAUCCACAACAAUCCUCCACACUUUCCCCCAAAUUUUAAUUUUCGCGUAUCUUCAUGCCUUGAUUCUCCUUCGUCAACGCCAAGAACUAGAUUGAAUCCUUCUAAAAGGCUAUUCGUUAGUGGUCUCUCAUUCCGGACAACGGAGGAGAGUCUAAGAAACGCAUUCAAAAACUUUGGUGAACUCAUUGAAGUUAAGUUGGUGAUGGAUAGGAUAGCGAAUCGGCCUCGAGGUUUUGCAUUCCUGCAAUAUAAGACAGAGGAGGAAUCCAAUAAAGCUGUUGAAGGAAUGCAUGGGAAGGAUCUAAAAGCAUAAGCUGGUAGAGAGAAAUAUGAUUUUGAUGCACAACAUUCAUGAAGAGAUACGUUGUGAAAUUUCUGGAUGGGCGGGUUAUCUUUGUUGAGGCUGCAAAGCCUAGGGCCGAACAUGGGCAAGAGAUGAAGCAGCAGAACCCCAGGCAGAGGUGAAGAUGAUACCAGUGCUUGGCCAGGCCAGACAAGGCGACAGUGCGCUGAUCAGAAUGUCGUCACACCCCACUUGUGAUCAAGGUCUAUAUGAUGAGGUUAAGUUUUACUCUGUCUUCUUCAUGUUCUUCACAACCUUGUUCGAUUUCAUUGUAAUUGCAUUCAAAUCUUACUACAUCAUUGUAUCCAAAACUAGUAUAUGACAUUAACAGGCUAGUAUGACUACAUUUGUAGACUAA